AAACAACUCUUUCCUCCAUUUCUCUAUUCACAAGUUCUCCAUUAACACAAAUACUCAAAUCUCUCUACAAGAUUCUUACUCUCAACAAUCAAUCAUAUACCUUUUUUAGCUUUCAAUCGACUGCUUGUUUACCCACCUAAUCUACUAGUCUUAGCUUACCGACAAACGAGAGGGAAUAAAAGAAUACAAUUUGGGAUAAAACCAUUUGCGAUUUGCUGGUUUUUCAAUCAGUGAUUUAGGCCUACUAUUCCAACUUUUCAGUUUUGUCUUCCUCCUGCUGUUAUAUAUGGGCUGACGCGUUUGUUUCAUGGGAGCUGAGGACGAUGAUGAACCACCAUCAAAACGUGUGAAGGUAUCCUCCA
rnacentral:misc_RNA from 1 species